AGCGAACGCUGGCGGCAGGCUUAACACAUGCAAGUCGAGCGGGCAUCCUUGUGGUGUCAGCGGCAGACGGGUGAGUAACGCGUGGGAACGUACCCUUUGGUUCGGAAUAACUCAGGGAAACUUGAGCUAAUACCGGAUACGCCCUUUUGGGGAAAGGCUUGCUGCCGAAGGAUCGGCCCGCGUCUGAUUAGCUAGUUGGUGAGGUUAUGGCUCACCAAGGCGACGAUCAGUAGCUGGUCUGAGAGGAUGAUCAGCCACACUGGGGCUGAGACACGGCCCAGACUCCUACGGGAGGCAGCAGUGGGGAAUAUUGGACAAUGGGGGCAACCCUGAUCCAGCCAUGCCGCGUGAGUGAUGACGGCCUUAGGGUUGUAAAGCUCUUUUCUCCGGGACGAUAAUGACGGUACCGGAGGAAUAAGCCCCGGCUAACUUCGUGCCAGCCGCCGCAGUAAGAC
rnacentral:rRNA from 1 species